rnacentral:rRNA from 1 species
AUGACCGUCGCAGGCAUCUGUGAUGGUGGAAAGCUCCGGCGGUGCAGGAUGAGCCCGCGGCCUAUCAGCUUGUUGGUGGGGUGAUGGCCUACCAAGGCGACGACGGGUAGCCGGCCUGAGAGGGCGACCGGCCACACUGGGACUGAGACACGGCCCAGACUCCUACGGGAGGCAGCAGUGGGGAAUAUUGCACAAUGGGCGAAAGCCUGAUGCAGCGACGCCGCGUGAGGGAUGACGGCCUUCGGGUUGUAAACCUCUUUCAGCAGGGAAGAAGCGCAAGUGACGGUACCUGCAGAAGAAGCACCGGCUAACUACGUGCCAGCAGCCGCGGUAAUACGUAGGGUGCGAGCGUUGUCCGGAAUUAUUGGGCGUAAAGAGCUCGUAGGCGGCUUGUCGCGUCGGAUGUGAAAGCCCGGGGCUUAACUCCGGGUCUGCAUUCGAUACGGGCAGGCUAGAGUGUGGUAGGGGAGAUCGGAAUUCCUGGUGUAGCGGUGAAAUGCGCAGAUAUCAGGAGGAACACCGGUGGCGAAGGCGGAUCUCUGGGCCAUUACUGACGCUGAGGAGCGAAAGCGUGGGGAGCGAACAGGAUUAGAUACCCUGGUAGUCCACGCCGUAAACGUUGGGAACUAGGUGUGGGCGACAUUCCACGUUGUCCGUG